rnacentral:rRNA from 1 species
GACGAACGCUGGCGGCGUGCCUAAUACAUGCAAGUCGAACGGUUUAGUUCCAAGAGGCUUGCCUUUUGGAACUAGACAGUGGCGGACGGGUGAGUAACACGUAGGCAACCUACCUGUCAAACCGGGAUAACCUCGGGAAACCGAAGCUAAACCCGGAUAAGCUCCUUUUUCGCAUGAAGGGGGAGUGAAAAGGUGCGACCUGAUGACAGAUGGGCCUGCGGCGCAUUAGCUAGUAGGUAGGGUAACGGCCUACCUAGGCGAUGAUGCGUAGCCGACCUGAGAGGGCGUACGGCCACACUGGGACUGAGAUACGGCCCAGACUCCUACGGGAGGCAGCAGUAGGGAAUCUUCGGCAAUGGGCGAAAGCCUGACCGAGCAACGCCGCGUGAGUGAGGAAGGCCUUCGGGGUGUAAAACUCUGUUGUUUGGGAAGAAGGGGAAGGGUAGGACCCUUAGGUGACGGUACCAAACGAGAAAGCCCCGGCUAACUACGUG